ACCUACGGGAGGCAGCAGUAGGGAAUUUUCGUCAAUGGGCGCAAGCCUGAACGAGCAAUGCCGCGUGAACGAGGAAGGUCUUCGGAUCGUAAAGUUCUGUUGAAGGGGAAAAAGAGCGGAGAGGGGAAAUGGUCUCCGAUUGAUAUUACCCUUCGAGGAAGUCACGGCUAACUACGUGCCAGCAGCCGCGGUAAUACGUAGGUGGCGAGCGUUAUCCGGAAUGAUUGGGCGUAAAGGGUGCGUAGGCGGCUUGCUAAGUCUGGAGUGAAAGGUACCGGCUCAACCGGUACAGGCUCUGGAAACUG
rnacentral:rRNA from 1 species